UACGGGGGGGGCAAGCGUUGUUCGGAAUUACUGGGCGUAAAGGGCUCGUAGGCGCCAACUAAGUCAGACGUGAAAUCCCUCGGCUUAACCGGGGAACUGCAUCUGAUACUGGAUGGCUUGAGUUCGGGAGAGGGAUGCGGAAUUCCAGGUGUAGCGGUGAAAUGCGUAGAUAUCAGGAGGAACACCUGUGGCGAAAGCGGCUCACUGGACCAUAACUGACGCUGAUGCACGAAAGCUAGGGGAGCAAACAGG
rnacentral:rRNA from 1 species